rnacentral:rRNA from 1 species
ACCCCCGGGGUAUGCCUUCAGUAGCGGCGAGUGAAGCGGCAAAAGCUCAAAUUUGAAAUCUGGCGUCUUUGGCGUCCGAGUUGUAAUUUGAAGAAGGUAUCUUUGGGCCCGGCUCUUGUCUAUGUUCCUUGGAACAGGACGUCACAGAGGGUGAGAAUCCCGUGCGAUGAGAUGACCCGGGUCUGUGUAAAGUUCCUUCGACGAGUCGAGUUGUUUGGGAAUGCAGCUCUAAGUGGGUGGUAAAUUCCAUCUAAAGCUAAAUAUUGGCGAGAGACCGAUAGCGAACAAGUACAGUGAUGGAAAGAUGAAAAGAACUUUGAAAAGAGAGUGAAAAAGUACGUGAAAUUGUUGAAAGGGAAGGGCUUGAGAUCAGACUUGGUAUUUUGCAUGCUGCUCUCUCGGGGGCGGCCGCUGCGGUUUACCGGGCCAGCAUCGGUUUGGAGCGGCAGGAUAAUGGCGGAGGAAUGUGGCACGGCUUCUGCUGUGUGUUAUAGCCUCUGACGAUGCUGCCAGCCUAGACCGAGGACUGCGGUUUUUAACCUAGGAUGUUGGCAUAAUGAUCUUAAGUCGCCCGUCUUGAAACACGGACC